ensembl:snRNA U6 U6 spliceosomal RNA
GCACUUUGGCAGUGCAUGUAUUAAAAUUGGAAUGAUACAGAAAAGAUUAGUAUAGCCCCUGCCUAAGGAUGACAACACAAAUUCGUGAAAUGUUCUGUAUAUUA